UGCUUACACAUGCAGUCGAACGGUAACAGGCCUUCGGGCGCUGACGAGUGGCGGACGGGUGAGUAACGCGUAGGAAUCUGCCUUAUAGUGGGGGACAACGUGGGGAAACCCACGCUAAUACCGCAUACGCCCUACGGGGGAAAGCGGGGGAUCGUAAGACCUCGCGCUAUGAGAUGAGCCUGCGUUAGAUUAGCUAGUUGGUAGGGUAAAGGCCUACCAAGGCGACGAUCUAUAGCUGGUCUGAGAGGACGAUCAGCCACACUGGGACUGAGACACGGCCCAGACUCCUACGGGAGGCAGCAGUGGGGAAUAUUGGACAAUGGGCGCAAGCCUGAUCCAGCAAUACCGCGUGUGUGAAGAAGGCCUUAGGGUUGUAAAGCACUUUCAAUGGGGAGGAAAACCUGCCGGUCAAUACCCGGUAGCUUGACAUUACCUAUAGAAGAAGCACCGGCUAACUCCGUGCCAGCAGCCGCGGUAAUACGAAGGGUGCGAGCGUUAAUCGGAAUUACUGGGCGUAAAGCGUGCGUAGGCGGUUCGUUAAGUCAGAUGUGAAAGCCCUGGGCUCAGCCUGGGAACUGCAUUUGAAACUGGCGGACUAGAGUUUAGUAGAGGGGAGUGGAAUUUCAGGUGUAGCGGUGAAAUGCGUAGAUAUCUGAAGGAACACCAGUGGCGAAGGCGACUCCCUGGACUAGAACUGACGCUGAGGUACGAAAGCGUGGGUAGCAAACAGGAUUAGAUACCCUGGUAGUCCACGCCGUAAACGAUGUCAACUAGCCGUUGGUCCUAUAUACAGGAUUAGUGGCGCAGCUAACGC
rnacentral:rRNA from 1 species